rnacentral:rRNA from 1 species
CCCCAGCGCCACAAGUGGGAACCACGCUUAUUGGGUCUAAAGCAUCCGUAGCCGGUUCUGCAAAUGCCCUGUGAAAUCGUUGCGCUCAACGUAACGACGUGCAGGGUAGACUACAGAACUAGGGACCAGAGGAAGUAGACGGUAUUCCUGAGGGAGCGGUAAAAUGUGAUAAUCUCAGGAGGACCACCGAUGGCGAAGGCAGUCUACUAAUAUGGAUCCGACGGUGAGGGAUGAAAGCUAGGGGAGCGAUCCG